ensembl:lncRNA
CCUCUCUCGGUUUCCUCCUCUCUCUCGGUUUCCUCCUCUCUCUCGGUUUCCUCCUCUCUCUCGGUUUCCUCCUCUCUCUCAGUUUCCUCCUCUCUUUCGGUUUCCUCCUCUCUCUCGGUUUCUUCUCUCUCGGUUUCCUCCUCUCUCUCAGUUUCUUCUCUCUUGGUUUCCUCCUCUCUCUCGGUUUCUUCCUCUCUCUCGGUUUCCUCCUCUCUCUCGGUUUCCUCCUCUCUUUCGGUUUCCUCCUCUCUCUCGGUUUCUUCCUCUCUCUCGGUUUCUUCCUCUCUCUUUCGGUUUCUUCCUCUCUCUCAGUUACCUCCUCUCUCAGUUUCUUCCUCUCUCUCGGUUUCCUCCUCUCUCUCGGUUUCUUCCUCUCUCUCGGUUUCUUCCUCUCUCUCGGUUUCUUCCUCUCUCUCGGUUUCCACCUCUCUCUCGGUUUCUUCCUCUCUCUCGGUUCCUCCUCUCUCUCGGUUUCCUCCUCUCUCAGUUUCUUCCUCUCCCUUGGUUUCCUCCUCUCUCUGUUUCUUCUUCUCUCUCGGUUUCUUCCUCUCUCUCGGUUUCCUCCUCUCUCUCGGUUUCUUCCUCUCUCUCGGUUUCUUCCUCUCUCUCGGUUUCCUCCUCUCUCUCGGUUUCUUCCUCUCUCUCGGUUUCUUCCUCUCUCUCGGUUUCCUCCUCUCUCGGUUUCCUCCUCUCAGUUUCCUCCUCUCUCUCGGUUUCUUCCUCUCUCUCGGUUUCUUCCUCUCUCUCGGUUUCCUCCUCUCUCUCGGUUUCUUCCUCUCUCUCGGUUUCUUCCUCUCUCAGUUUCUUCCUUUCCCUCGGUUGCCUACUCUCUCUCAGUUGCCUCCUCUCUCUCGGUUUCCUCACCUUGGUUUUCUCCACUCUCGGUUUCUUCCUCUCUCUCGGUUACUUGCUCUCUCGGUUUUUUCCUCCUCUCUCUCGGUUUCUUCCUCUCUCUCGGUUUCUUCCUGUCUCUCUGGUUUCCUCCUCUCUCUCGGUUUCCCCCUCUCUCUCAGUUUCUUCUCUCUCGGUUUCCUCCUCUCUCUCAGUUUCUUCUCUCUCGGUUUCCUCCUCUCUCUCGGUUUCUUCUCUCUCGGUUUCCUCCUCUCUCUCGGUUUCUUCUCUCUCGGUGUCCUCCUCUCUCUCGGUUUCUUCCUCUCUCUCGGUUUCCUCCUCUCUCUGUUUCUCCUCUCUCGGUUUCCUCCUCUCUCAGUUUCUUCUUCUCUCUCGGUUUCCUCCUCUCUCAGUUUCUUCCUCUCUCUCGGUUUUCUCCUCUCUCAGUUACUUCCUCUCUCUCGGUUACCUCCUCUCUCUCGGUUUCUUCCUCUCUCUCGGUUUCUUCCUCUCUUUCGGUUUCUUCCUCUCUCUCGGUUUCUUCCUGUCUCUCGGUUUCCUCCUCUCUCUCGGUUUCCCCCUCUCUCUCAAUUUCUUCUCUCUCGGUUUCCUCCUCUCUCUCAGUUUCUUCCUCUCUCUCGGUUUCCUCCUCUCUCUGUUUCUCCUCUCUCGGUUUCCUCCUCUCUGUUUCUUCUCUCUCGGUUGCCUCCUCUCUCAGUUUCUUCCUCUCUCUCGGUUUUCUCCUCUCUCAGUUUCUUCCUUUCCCUCGGUUUUCUCCUCUCUCAGUUUCUUCCUUUCCCUCGUUUCCUCCUCUCUCUCGGUUUCCUCCUCUCUCAGUUUCUU